rnacentral:rRNA from 1 species
GACGUAGGGCGCGAGCGUUGUCCGGAUUUAUUGGGCGUAAAGAGCUCGUAGGCGGCUUGUUGCGUCGACUGUGAAAACCCGCGGCUUAACUGCGGGCUUGCAGUUGAUACGGGCAGGCUAGAGUUCGGUAGGGGAGACUGGAAUUCCUGGUGUAGCGGUGAAAUGCGCAGAUAUCAGGAGGAACACCGGUGGCGAAGGCGGCUCACUGGCUCAUUUCUGACGCUCAGGCGCGACAGCGUGGGGAUCAAACAGG